AAAUGAAUUGACGGGGACCCGCACAAGCGGUGGAGCAUGCUCUUUAAUUGGCUGAUAACCCAAAAACCUUACCAGGGCUUGACAUGCAUAAAGUAGUGAACCGAAAGGGGAACGACCGGUAUCCAGUCCGGAGUUUGCACAGGUGUUGCAUGGCUGUCGUCAGUUCGUACCGUGAGGCGUACCCUUAAGUGGGUUAACGAACGCAACCCCUACUAUCAGUUGUAUCACUCUGAUGGAACUGCCUCGGCAACGAGGAGGAAGGUGGGGACGACGUCAAGUCGGUAUUGCUCUUACGCUCUGGGCUAGAAGCAUGCUACAAUGGGGUCGACAACGCGAAGCGAAGAGGCGACUCGGAGCAAAUCGCUAAACGAUCUCUCAGUUCGGAUUGGAGUCUGCAACUCGACUCCAUGAAGUUGGAAUCGCUAGUAAUCGGCGGUCAUCUAUACGCCGGUGAAUACGUUCUCGGGUCUUGCACACACCGCCCGU
rnacentral:rRNA from 1 species